CCUACGUGUGGCAGCAGUGAGGAAUAUUGGUCAAUGGGCGGAAUCCUGAACCAGCCAUGCCGCGUGCAGGACGACGGCUCUACGAGUUGUAAACUGCUUUUGUACAGGAGUAACAUGCUCUACGUGUAGGGUUUUGAAUGUACGGUACGCAUAAGGAUCGGCUAACUCCGUGCCAGCAGCCGCGGUAAUACGGAGGAUCCGAGCGUUAUCCGGGUUCAUUGGGUUUAAAGGGAGCGUAGGUGGGUUUAUACGUUAGCGGUGAAAUAUCGAUGCUCAACCUCGGGGUUGCAACUGAUACUGGAAGACUAGAGAACGGUUGAGGCAGGCGGAAUGUGUGGUGUAGCGGUGAAAUGCAUAGAUAUUACGCAGAACACCGAUUGCGAAGGCAGCUUACUAGGCCGGAACUGACACUGAUGCACGAAAGCGUGGGUAUCGAACAGGAUUAGAUACCCGAGUAGUC
rnacentral:rRNA from 1 species